rnacentral:lncRNA from 1 species
AAGUACUCCUUCUGGUGUGGAAAAAAUCAUUAUAUAUUCUUCCAUAAGGUCUGACACUCGUAUCACGCUGAUUUCCUCUGUUUUCGUUUCGAGCCUGUUUUCUGCAGCAGAUUUAGAGCAAGAUGUCGUCUUAGGAAUCUGUGGGGGAGAACAAUCUCCCUCAAGUCUAUGGAGAAGUAAAUGCUGAUCUGAAAAGGAUGGAGGUCAUGGAGGCUAAGGAAAGGCUACCUAAAGAAACCAAGGGCAAAACUUACGAGAGGAACCAGGCGUCGGACGAAGCACAAUCUGUGUUCAACAAAGAAGAAGUUGAAGAAGUGGAUUUCCUCCAACCCUACCUCCACCUACUAUCUCCAUCCUUGAUUGAACUCUUGAGGUUUUGUGAAACAACUCGUGCUCGCAAUACUUAUCUCACUCGCGAAGUUGUUUUGCUGGAGAAACAUAUCACAGGUCUCCAAGCUAUAAAUCAAAGAUUGAUGGCCCUCUUGGAAUCAAGGGAGAAAACAACUCCACCACCAUCACCUCCAAAGGAAGACAACUAAGCAUGGGUAUGGGCAAUCCCCUUGGCUUGUGCCAAGCUUGGGGGAGUUGCCCCAGUAUCGUAUCACCAUCACAUCUUUUGCCUUUACCUUUGUUUUAGUUUGUUCCUUUUCAGUUUUCUUUUUCUCUUGUAGAAUAAAGGUCUUAGUGUUUUAGUCUUUAGUUUUGCUUUGUGUCACCCCCGAUGUAUUCGAGCUCGUGAGCCAUAUAAUAAAGAGUGUCUUAGUUAAGGGCCAUGCCUCAUGCCAUGAUCAAAAGAUUGAGAAAAGAACAAAAGCAUGAAAGAUCAUGUAAUGAUCUUAUGGGAAGUGAUGGCUUCACAUAUAAAAAGAAUGAUGAUUGAAACUUGC